rnacentral:misc_RNA from 1 species
GAUAUUUUUCAUGAAAGGAGUAAAUGCAUCAGGUUGUAUAACGCUUGCGCAUUGUUCACCGAACGAUUGUAAGCGGGUCGAUUCGUGUAGUCAGUCUCUGCAACCAGUUGCAGCGGUACACGCAAAUGUGGAGGUUUAGAAGUUGUUGACAAUAAUUUGUGAAGUGGAAGCCUCUGUAUGGUUUAGUGGAUCUAUUUAAAAUAUGGGAAGAUCUAUGGAAUUUUUGCUGGAGUGUUUGAAAAUACAAACGAUUUCAUUAAGGCAGUUAAAUUUUUUAAAUACUAAACACGAUUUGCACAGCAUAAAUGGAAAUAUAAAGCAGGCUUACAGUACUGAACGUUUGAAUGGACAUAUGAAUUAUCUUCCCUGCGGUGAUUUCAACGACCACACUCGACCGCAUAAUGAUUAAAAUCAACUCAAGGAUUCUCUUUUCGGAAAACGGAAUACGGAAUAUAGGAAUCGUAGAAAUUCUGCCGCACUGAACGCGUGAAACUCUUUAUUAUAUCAUAAAAAUAUUCAGCGCUUUACAAACACAAUAAUUGAUCAUUUAAU